UACGUAGGUGGCAAGCGUUGUCCGGAAUUACUGGGUGUAAAGGGAGCGUAGGCGGGAGUGCAAGUUGAAUGUAUAAACUAUCGGCUCAACUGAUAGAAGCGUUCAAAACUGCACUUCUUGAGUGAAGUAGAGGCAGGCGGAAUUCCUAGUGUAGCGGUGAAAUGCGUAGAUAUUAGGAGGAACACCAGUGGCGAAGGCGGCCUGCUGGGCUUUAACUGACGCUGAGGCUCGAAAGCGUGGGUAGCAAACAGG
rnacentral:rRNA from 1 species